rnacentral:rRNA from 1 species
UAUGAACGCUGGCGGCGUGCCUAAUACAUGCAAGUCGAGCGAACGGACGAGAAGCUUGCUUCUCUGAUGUUAGCGGCGGACGGGUGAGUAACACGUGGAUAACCUACCUAUAAGACUGGGAUAACUUCGGGAAACCGUAGCUAAUACCGGAUAAUAUUUUGAACCGCAUGGUUCAAAAGUGAAAGACGGUCUUGCUGCCACUUAUAGAUGGAUCCGCGCUGCAUUAGCUAGUUGGUAAGGUAACGGCUUACCAAGGCAACGAUGCAUAGCCGACCUGAGAGGGUGACCGGCCACACUGGAACUGAGACACGGUCCAGACUCCUACGGGAGGCAGCAGUAGGGAAUCUUCCGCAAUGGGCGAAAGCCUGACGGAGCAACGCCGCGUGAGUGAUGAAGGUCUUCGGAUCGUAAAACUCUGUUAUUAGGGAAGAACAUAUGUGUAAGUAACUGUGCACAUCUUGACGGUACCUAAUCAGAAAGCCACGGCUAACUACGUG